UCAAGGGAAGGUUCCUAAUGGAGAGACUCACCUCAGAGGUUUCUCUUUUACUACUGAAUGAAUAACAGCUGUUGUUAUUUUUCACCUAAUCCUUUUUAUAGUCUCUGAAAGUCCACCUACAAUAACCCUUUCAGGUAUUAUCAAGAAGUACUGCCCCUGGCUGAGCCCACUAGGGCUUUCAUGACAACCCCAAGGCCAUACUGUAAGGGGUUGCUCGGGCCUCUAACAAAAUGUACAAGAAUAAAGCUGCUUCCUACUGAGAUAAUAUGCCUCUGAGAGUAAGAACCAUGUCUCCUACUUGUCCCACUUUGCCUCCCCCAACUCACUCAAUCUGGAAGCCAGCUGCCAUGCUGUGAGGAUGCUCAAGCAGCCCUACAGAGAGGUCCAUGUGGCAAGGAACUCAGGUCUCCAGCCAACAACCAUGUAGUCUGCCAUUGUGGAGGUUGCUCCUCCAGUCCCAGGAGAAACCUGGCAGAUACCACCUUAAUCAACUGAUAAAUGUCAAACAUCACCAGUAAUGGGACAAAUCAACAUCACAUGCCUGCUGAUACACUGCAUUGAAAAGAACUCCCAUGGGUCAGAGCCUCUCUUGCUCAUCGCAUUAUUCCCAACGGUGGUUCAUAUGCAGCGGCAGCUCCUGGUUCCUGGGCACUGUGUACCAGACACUGUACCAAAAAGCACCAGACAUGCAUCAUCUCAUUGGAUCUUCACUUUGCCUCUAAGCUCUGAGAAGUGAAACAACUUGUCCAAGGUCACAUGAGCGACAAGAGGCAGAGGUAGGAUAUAAACCCUGCUCUAUGUCCCUAUUGGACUGGCUCCCUUGGGCACUCAAUAAAUGCUGAAUUGAGCCCUUUCUGCAGCUCCAAGAGGUUUCUGGGAAACCAGGGUAGUUUCCCGGGACAGAGUUGCAUUCUCCUUUCCUUUGAUAAAUAUCAGCACCAGCAAUAAGAGGGAGAAAAGUGCUAGAUGUCAAAUCCAAAGAUUGCAGUUUCAGCUCUGCUCCUCAUGCACAGGGAUCUCACUCACACUGGCUGGGUCUCCAUCUGCCCCAACUAGACCAGGCCAGCGGUUUUCAAACUUCUUUUAGCAGCCAAAUUUUUUUUUUUUUUUUUAGCAAACCCUUUUGCAAAACCUCAGCAUGGAAUCAUUCACAAUAGCCGAAAGGUAGAAGCAACCCAGGUGUCCAUGAACAGAUGACUGGAUGAACAAAGUGUGCUAUAUCAAUACAGUGGAAUUGUCUUAAUCCUUCAAAGACAGGAUAUUCUGAUAUAUGCCACAACAUGAAUGAACUUGAAGACAUGCUAAGUGAAAUAAGCCAGUCACAAAAGGGAAAAGCUGUAUGACUCUACUUUAUGUUAUCUCUAUACUGUAUGAAGGACCUAGUUAAGUUCAUAGAGACAGAGAGUAGAAUGCUGGGUGCCCAGGACUUAGAGAAGUGGGGAGUGGGUAUCAGUUAGGGAAGAAGAAAAAGUUGGGGAGAUGGAUAAAGGUGAUAGUUGCACAAGAAUAUGAACGUACUUAAUGCCACUGAACUGCACACUUAAAAACGGUUAAAAUGCCAAAUUUUAUGUCUAUUUUGCCACAAUUCAAUAAAUAAA